rnacentral:rRNA from 1 species
UUCAGGGGUAAACCUGAGAAACCCGAAAGGUCGAAAGGGGAAAUUCAUUCGCGUUUCGACCGUCGGAGUGAGACGAUCGAGUGACGGACGGCGUACGCGUCGUCCGCGCCUUUCGUUUUACGAUCCGGCGUCGAACGCGUGCACUUUUCCCCUAGUAGGACGUCGCGAUCCGUUGGGUGUCGGUCUAAGGCUUGCGGUGGAGCCCGAGCGUACGUUUUCGGACGUUUGCGCUCGGACCCGCGAUGUCCCGGCCGACCCGCUCGACGGUAUACAGAUGGCGCGGGGCCGCUACUUCAGUUAGCGUUCGGCCCGCGGCAAGCGCGUACGGUGUUGGCGGCGAUCGGACCUGGUGCCGAUCCCGUCCCCGGACGACUGUUGGCUGCGGUGCUCUCGAACAGACCUCGUUACGAAACGCCGAUCUGCGACGCUAUAGCUUUGGGUACUUUCAGGACCCACGGACCAAGGAGUCUAGCAUGUGCGCGAGUCAUUGGGACAUAACUAAACCUAAAGGCGCAAUGAAAGUGAAGGUCCGCCUCGCGCGGACCGAGGGAGGAUGGGCGGUUCGUACUUCGUGCGUCCGCUCCGCACUCCCGGGGCGUCUCGUUCUCAUCGCGAGAAGAGGCGCACCAAGAGC